rnacentral:rRNA from 1 species
CCUACGGGUGGCAGCAGUAGGGAAUCUUCCACAAUGGGCGAAAGCCUGAUGGAGCAACGCCGCGUGGGUGAAGAAGGUCUUCGGAUCGUAAAACCCUGUUGUUAGAGAAGAAAGUGCGUGCGAGUAACUGUUCCCGCUUCGACGGUAUCUAUCCAGACAGCCACGGCUAACUACGUGCCAGCAGCCGCGGUAAUACGGCCGUGGCAAGCGUUAUCCGGAUUUAAUGGGCGUAAAGGGGACGCAGGCGGGCUUUUAAGUCUGAUUGGAAAACCGUCGGCUUAACCGGAGUAGUGCAUUGGAAACUGGGAGACUUGAGUGCAGAACAGGAAAGUGGAACUCCAUGUGUAGCGGUGAAAUGCGUAGAUAUAAGGAAGAACACCAAUGGCGAAGGCAGCUCGCUGGGGUGUAACUGACGCUGAGGUUCGAAAGCGUGGGUAGCAAACAGGAUUAGAUACCCCAGUAGUC